ensembl:lncRNA
AUGAGCUGCUGGCUUACACGGUGCCCAGCUCAGCUCCACAGCACAGCUACAAUGCACCCUUCCCUUCUUGCAGCCCCACAGCACAGCUCCAGCUGCUGUGGAUGCAGAAACCCAGCCAUGCAGCUGGGCUGGGGCUGCACACCCCAUUUUUCCCCCUGUUCCCCUCUUCAGAUGGCCCUGGGGAUGCUGAGAGAUGCUGCACGCCGCAACAUCAGCCUCUGCUGUGCAGGGAACACUGGGCUGCCCCACUGCCAAGGUGGACCGAUGGCUUUGGAGCCACUUCAAACCACUCGCAGCCUUAACAGAGAUAAUCAAUCACUGUGCUCCUGCUCUGGGCCUAGCUGCUGAGGAUGGCUCUCCAGGGCUGAGGGCUGGCAAGGCUGGGCGGGACUGUGCUGCCUGCAGGGGGAACGUCCCCUCGAGGGGACACAGAUCUCGGCUCUGUCCUUCCUGCAGGAGAGCGGUCUGUGCCCCUCUGUGCUGGGAAAUGCCGAAGGAGCCAGGUGUGGGAUUGGUGCAGGGAUCUGCAGGAAAUGCCAGGCAAUAGAGAUACUUUGCCCCAGGGAAAAGGUGUCACAUUCUUCCAGCCGCUGAUAAAGUUAAACCCUUGAUCCAGAAGGCCAGUUUGGGUAGGACGUGCAAUGCUGCCAGUGCUGCCCAGGCACAGGGAUGACUCUGCUGCCCUCCUUCCUGCGGGAAGGCUGCAAGACUGCAGGAUCAGCCCUGUCUCAGGCACAACAGCAUCAGAGCAGAGAGCAUUGCAGCCCUUAGCUCCACUGUUCUGCAGAGAUGGCAUGUGGAUAACUGCAACGCUAGCCUCCAGCACCAGUGGGAUAUGCUGAACCUGGAAACAAUCGGCUGAGAGAGAAGAAACUUCUCUACAGCCAGUAACUGCUGGAUCCCUGCAUCCUGUAAGGAGUACAGCUGCUCGCAUUACUGACGGCACUCCCGGCACCCCUCGGGAGGGCUCCAGGCUGUGGGAUGCAUGGUGCAGAGCAGCGCCAGGACCCCUCAGCCAGGCCUGCGCUCUGCUCUCCGCUCCCAUCCUCAUGGCUGCGUCACCAAAGCCGGGCACACCAAAUCCAAAGUCAUCUCCAGGGCCGCCGCUGCUGCUGGGUGCGCCCAGAGACCCGCUCGUCUGCUGCCCACGGCACAGCCCACGCCAUGUGUCUGUGAGCAGUGGGAGCGCGGGCACAGAACAGCUGCUGGGAAUUUAAAUGACCGCCCAUGAAUGCCGGUUUUGUUUUGCCCCAGACGUGGCUGCGUUCUGCCUGGGAGAAGCAGCAUUCAAAUGUAGCCGAUGGCAGGGCUCUCCCCUGCAAAUAAAGCUGGUCUGGGAAAUCUGGGGAGAAAUGGAGCUUGAAAGGAGCCCUGGAGUGGCUCCUGCCCCUGCACAGCCCUGCCAAGGGAGCAGCGGGUACCCAGGGCAGGGAAUGUGGCGGUGGUGUGGGGACGUGGGGACGUGGGACCUGUGAUACAUGACAUAGACACGUGGGGACACGUGGAGGUGGGAGACAGCUGUGCUCCCCUACAGCACCUGAUGUGCAGCCAACACGGGGCUGGGCCUGGGGAGACAAUGCCAUACACAGGACAGGGCCAGCAAGACAAGAGGAGAGAGCAGAUGUCCAGGGACAGCCUGGAAGUGAAGUUUUUGACCUGGUCAUGAGCUCAGGGUGGGAAACGCUGUCCUGUGACCAGGCACACAGAGAUGCUGCCGGUUGCCACCACUGACUCAACGCACGCUGCCAAAUGCAUGCCCCAGAGAUCUGGUUCUGAAUGGAUAAACAGCAUUUCUUAUUAAGGCUGCUAAUGGGAUACCAGCCCAUGACAGUGUAG